rfam:Dipodomys ordii contig_16465, whole genome shotgun sequence.
GUGCUGGCUUCAGCAGCACAUAUGCUAAAAUUGGAAUGAUACAGAGAAGAUUAUCAUGGCCCGUGAGCAAGGAUGACAAAGCCAGGCCCAAAGAAACAUAGGUCCCAUAGUUUC